rnacentral:rRNA from 1 species
AGCGACAGAAGAAGCACCGGCUAACUCCGUGCCAGCAGCCGCGGUAAUACGGAGGGUGCGAGCGUUAAUCGGAAUUACUGGGCGUAAAGCGCAUGCAGGGUGGUUUGUUAAGUCAGAUGUGAAAGCCCGGGGCUCAACCUCGGAAUAGCAUUUGAAACUGGCAGACUAGAGUACUGUAGAGGGGGGUAGAAUUUCAGGUGUAGCGGUGAAAUGCGUAGAGAUCUGAAGGAAUACCGGUGGCGAAGGCGGCCCCCUGGACAGAUACUGACACUCAGAUGCGAAAGCGUGGGGAGCAAACAGGAUUAGAUACCCUGGUAGUCCACGCCGUAAACGAUGUCUACUUGGAGGUUGUGGCCUUGAGCCGUGGCUUUCGGAGCUAACGCGUUAAGUAGACCGCCUGGGGAGUACGGUCGCAAGAUUAAAACUCAAAUGAAUUGACGGGGGCCCGCACAAGCGGUGGAGCAUGUGGUUUAAUUCGAUGCAACGCGAAGAACCUUACCUACUCUUGACAUCCAGAGAACUUUCCAGAGAUGGAUUGGUGCCUUCGGGAACUCUGAGACAGGUGCUGCAUGGCUGUCGUCAGCUCGUGUUGUGAAAUGUUGGGUUAAGUCCCGCAACGAGCGCAACCCUUAUCCUUGUUUGCCAGCACUUCGGGUGGGAACUCCAGGGAGACUGCCGGUGAUAAACCGGAGGAAGGUGGGGACGACGUCAAGUCAUCAUGGCCCUUACGAGUAGGGCUACACACGUGCUACAAUGGCGCAUACAGAGGGCGGCCAACUUGCGAGAGUGAGCGAAUCCCAAAAAGUGCGUCGUAGUCCGGAUCGGAGUCUGCAACUCGACUCCGUGAAGUCGGAAUCGCUAGUAAUCGUGGAUCAGAAUGCCACGGUGAAUACGUUCCCGGGCCUUGUACACACCGCCCGUCACACCAUGGGAGUGGGCUGCAAAAGAAGUAGGUAGUUU